UGCUGCCAACAGACCACUAAGCGACUGCCUCGUGGGCUUAUUGCUGAAAUGUUUGAGAUGAAUCUGUUGGUUGAAGCCAGUAAAGCCAGCAGGUGAAGAAGAAUCUUUGAAAUCCAUGACAAAGUUGCUUAGUGCUCCUUUAAAAACAACACAAUAUAUUAGAUGUUUCCCUUAAUUAUUGCAUGUACAGCAGACAUAGUAUUUAGUAAGUCAGUUCCUACUCAUUUUUCAUCAUCAUCAUCAUCAUCAUCAUCAUCAUCAUCAUCAUCAUAUUUUCAGCAGCAAUGUUUCACAGUUAUCAUAACACCCCAAGUCAGAAUCGCCCAACCCAAAGCAAAAGCAGAAGUAAGAAAAGACAAUUCAAACAUGCACAUUCUUUACCAACAUGGGAUAGAGCAGGACAGGCUGCACCACCCCUUUCCUCAGUUUACUAAGAUACACUGGAGAAAACAGUAGUAGCAUUAUUAUAGGUAUUGAGUAAGCUUCUUUUGCUGUCAUGUUCUCUGCUACACAUAUGAAGUAUAAAAAGCAUAGAGAAAUUGGUGAUUCUCAUCAUUACUAAGAUUGAAACUUUACUAAGAUUUAAACCUGUAAACUGUUUAAGUACACUGUCACCCGGGCUUCCUAGAUAAUUGUGCUUUUUAUAUACUUUCAGGGUUUUUGUUUUUAUGACUUUUUUCUAGGCCUACAUACAUAAAUGUUCUAACAAUUUAACAGACAGAUUCAGAAUUGUAUAUAAUAAUAGUAUGUAAUAAUGGUCUGAUGACUAAAGGUGUGUUCACACCGAUUUCAGAGGCUCAUCUUUAUCUUGCAUUAUCUACACAAAUGUGAGAGCUGGAGAGGUUUUGCACUUUGUUUUUACCUCAACAGUGACUGUACUGACUGUCCAGAUGCUAACUGUGGUCAGGUGGCCUUGUCCUUUCCUUUGCGUGCUGUAUGUCUCUACGUGCAAAGUUAUUGCUUCAUAACAUGUUUAAACUUGGCAUACUUAUACAUUAAAAACAUGUUUCUACUUUCUAA